AAAUUUAUUUAUUUAUUUUAUAGUUAUUAAGGUUCUCCUAGAAGUCCUAAUAAAGAUGCUUUGCAAAAGUUGGAGUAAUUGGAGUCUGGAAACUAAUAGCCGAAAAAGUUGUUACCUUUCGCUCACUUCAAAUGUUCUUAAGAUCUAAGCGUCUUAUCAAAAAGCACUAUGGAAUUUAACUAGGAAGUUUACACAUCUUUUCUUACCAAUGUCGUUUAUCUGGUCAGAUCCAACAUCGAACCUCAGACCUCUUGAUUCUGAGAAAAAACUCAAAUCACUGCACCAUGGUUGCAACGAAGUUACUUCGCAUUUUCACAAACCAUCUAUCUUUGUGUCGCAUAAACAUCUCUAUCUUGAGUUUUUACAGUGGACCGCAAAAACUUGAAUCCUACGGAAUUGAAAGUAAAAUUUUAAACUGAACUUAUGCUUUUUUUGUUCAGUGCUAAGUCCUACGCAUCUUCAUUAGCAGAUUCGAUAAAUUAUGGAAAAACACUAGUAAACGCCCACAUCUCAAGUUUGUAGUUACCGCAGUUCUAACAUCAGACCACUCAAGUCCGGCACGAAAUGAGGCAUUUUGACUUCGAGAUAAAACUAAUCCUCACCUCUCCAAAUAAUAGAUGUUUACGCAGCAACCUCAUUCAAAAAUACAAAUUUUAGAACAACAUCAAAUCAGUCAGUUGGUAUAAUACUCCAUUUAACAUUCCACCAAGGUACGGUCUUUGCAAGCGUUUUCAACGUUUAAUGGACAACAACUGGAAUGUUUCACUUCAAAUCAAAAAAUAGUCAGCUACCACCAUAAUUACCACUGUGCGUCAUCUUCCGUGCAAAAACCUAUGAACUAGCCCGGCCAACUACUGAUAGGCUUACGAAACUCAACCGUUCUGUGUAUUUUAACUUCUAACUAAACCAAAUAAAAAUUAUGUCACAUAAAAAUUUUUUUCACAAAGAUCGUUUAAAACAAGGAUUGAAUGUCGUUAGCUUGUUUUUUAUUUUUCUGUAAAAGUAAAAAAAAAAAAAAAAAAAAAAAUAGUGGGCUCCAUAAUUAGGGGCGAGAUACCUAACUACAAAAGUGAAAAUAUUUAAUUAAUUAGUAAUGAAUUUGUUUUAGUUAAUCUGAAUGACCUUCAUUAUGAAUGAUCUUCCUAAACUAAGUAUUUAUAAUAAUAUUUGCCACAUUUGUUAUCAACAUAAAUCAUCAAGUUAUCAACAAAAUAAAACAUAUUUUGCGGUCCAAAGAAAGUCAAAUUAGAAAUAGUCU